rnacentral:rRNA from 1 species
AGAGUUUGAUCCUGGCUCAGGACGAACGCUGGCGGCGUGCCUAAUACAUGCAAGUCGAACGAAACUUUCUUACACCGAAUGCUUGCAUUCACCGUAAGAAGUUGAGUGGCGGACGGGUGAGUAACACGUGGGUAACCUGCCUAAAAGAAGGGGAUAACACUUGGAAACAGGUGCUAAUACCGUAUAUCUCUAAGGAUCGCAUGAUCCUUAGAUGAAAGAUGGUUCUGCUAUCGCUUUUAGAUGGACCCGCGGCGUAUUAACUAGUUGGUGGGGUAACGGCCUACCAAGGUGAUGAUACGUAGCCGAACUGAGAGGUUGAUCGGCCACAUUGGGACUGAGACACGGCCCAAACUCCUACGGGAGGCAGCAGUAGGGAAUCUUCCACAAUGGACGCAAGUCUGAUGGAGCAACGCCGCGUGAGUGAAGAAGGUCUUCGGAUCGUAAAACUCUGUUGUUAGAGAAGAACACGAGUGAGAGUAACUGUUCAUUCGAUGACGGUAUCUAACCAGCAAGUCACGGCUAACUACGUGCCAGCAGCCGCGGUAAUACGUAGGUGGCAAGCGUUGUCCGGAUUUAUUGGACGUAAAGGGAACGCAGGCGGUCUUUUAAGUCUGAUGUGAAAGCCUUCGGCUUAACCGGAGUAGUGCAUUGGAAACUGGAAGACUUGAGUGCAGAAGAGGAGAGUGGAACUCCAUGUGUAGCGGUG